UCCCUGGUGGCUCAGAUGGUAAAGCGUCUGCCUGCAAUGCGGGAGACCCAGGUUCGAUUCCUGGGUUGGGAA
rfam:TPA: Bos taurus chromosome 20, whole genome shotgun sequence.